rnacentral:tRNA from 1 species
GGUAGAAUGGCUGAGGAAUAGGCGGUAAAUUGUAAAUUUAUUUAGGGGAGUGAAUCUCUUCUACCA